rnacentral:rRNA from 1 species
GACGAACGCUGGCGGCGUGCUUAACACAUGCAAGUCGAACGGAAAGGCCCUGCUUUUGUGGGGUGCUCGAGUGGCGAACGGGUGAGUAACACGUGAGUAACCUGCCCUUGACUUUGGGAUAACUUCAGGAAACUGGGGCUAAUACCGGAUAGGAGCUCCUGCUGCAUGGUGGGGGUUGGAAAGUUUCGGCGGUUGGGGAUGGACUCGCGGCUUAUCAGCUUGUUGGUGGGGUAGUGGCUUGCCAAGGCUUUGACGGGUAGCCGGCCUGAGAGGGUGACCGGCCACAUUGGGACUGAGAUACGGCCCAGACUCCUACGGGAGGCAGCAAUGGGGAAUAUUGCACAAUGGGCGGAAGCCUGAUGCAGCAACGCCGCGUGCGGGAUGACGGCCUUCGGGUUGUAAACCGCUUUCGCCUGUGACGAAGCGUGAGUGACGGUAAUGGGUAAAGAAGCACCGGCUAACUACGUG